rnacentral:rRNA from 1 species
GACGAACGCUGGCGGCGUGCUUAACACAUGCAAGUCGAACGGAAAGGCCCUGCUUUUGUGGGGUUCUCGAGUGGCGAACGGGUGAGUAACACGUGAGUAACCUGCCCUUGAAUUUGGGAUAACUUCAGGAAACUGGGGCUAAUACCGGAUAGGAGCUCCUGCUGCAUGGUGGGGGUUGGAAAGUUUCGGCGGUUGGGGAUGGACUCGCGGCUUAUCAGCUUGUUGGUGGGGUAGUGGCUUACCAAGGCUUUGACGGGUAGCCGGCCUGAGAGGGUGACCGGGCACAUUGGGACUGAGAUACGGCCCAGACUCCUACGGGAGGCAGCAGUGGGGAAUAUUGCACAAUGGGCGGAAGCCUGAUGCAGCAACGCCGCGUGCGGGAUGCCGGCCUUCGGGUUGUAAACCGCUUUCGCCUGUGACGAAGCGUGAGUGACGGUAAUGGGUAAAGAAGCACCGGCUAACUACGUG